GGGGGAUAUUGCGCAAUGGGGGCAACCCUGACGCAGCAACGCCGCGUGGAGGAAGAAGGUUUUCGGAUUGUAAACUUCUUUUAUUAAGGACGAAACUUGACGGUACUUAAUGAAUAAGCUCCGGCUAACUACGUGCCAGCAGCCGCGGUAAUACGUAGGGAGCAAGCGUUGUCCGGAUUUACUGGGUGUAAAGGGUGCGUAGGCGGCUUUGCAAGUCAGAUGUGAAAUCUAUGGGCUCAACCCAUAAACUGCAUUUGAAACUGUAGAGCUUGAGUGAAGUAGAGGCAGGCGGAAUUCUCCGUGUAGCGGUGAAAUGCGUAGAGAUGGGGAGGAACACCAGUGGCGAAGGCGGCCUGCUGGGCUUUAACUGACGCUGAGGCACGAAAGCGUGGGUAGCAAACAGGAUUAGAUACCCUGGUAGUCCACGCUGUAAACGAUGAUUACUAGGUGUGGGGGGUCUGACCCCUUCCGUGCCGGAGUUAACACAAUAAGUAAUCCACCUGGGGAGUACGGCCGCAAGGUUGAAACUCAAAGGAAUUGACGGGGGCCCGCACAAGCAGUGGAGUAUGUGGUUUAAUUCGAAGCAACGCGAAGAACCUUACCAGGUCUUGACAUCCAACUAACGAAGUAGAGAUACAUUAGGUGCCCUUCGGGGAAAGUUGAGACAGGUGGUGCAUGGUUGUCGUCAGCUCGUGUCGUGAGAUGUUGGGUUAAGUCCCGCAACGAGCGCAACCCUUGCUAUUAGUUGCUACGCAAGAGCACUCUAAUAGGACUGCCGUUGACAAAACGGAGGAAGGUGGGGACGACGUCAAAUCAUCAUGCCCCUUAUGACCUGGGCUACACACGUACUACAAUGGAUGUUAACAGAGGGAAGCAAGACAGCGAUGUGGAGCAAACCCCUAAAAACAUUCUCAGUUCAGAUUGCAGGCUGCAACCCGCCUGCAUGAAGAUGGAAUUGCUAGUAAUCGCGGAUCAGCAUGCCGCGGUGAAUACGUUCCCG
rnacentral:rRNA from 1 species